GGUUGCUGUUUUCUUUCAUGUAAUUUGAUCCUCUUUGACCCCUGGUAGGUGAAGUGGUACCUUGGUGUGUCAUCGUGUCUUGGCUGUAGGAUGAAGGAGAUCAAGAUGACACUCAGUGAAGAUGAUAGGAGCAGUGACCAGGCAUCAAAACUCUGUCCAGCCUGUCUGAAGCAACCUUUUCCCAGAAACAAGGUUCCUUUACACUGAUGACAAGAGAAGGCRUUGGUAAGAAGAAUUAGUAUAAACAAAUCAAAUAUUGCUGAAGACAGGGUUUGAUCUCCCUGCCCCGGGCCUUUCUUUAGGUAUUCUCCCCUGGUCGUGUGAGUCUACUGUUGUACCUCUUCACCAGGAAGCAACUAAGAUGCAAGACUCUUCCCUUCCCCAGAGCGUUUCAGUGAGCUCAUGACUGGUUGAAAUACACCUUACAAGGGGCGAUAGUGUGUG
rnacentral:lncRNA from 1 species